CCUACGGGAUGCAGCAGUGAGGAAUAUUGGUCAAUGGACGAGAGUCUGAACCAGCCAAGUAGCGUGAAGGAUGACUGCCCUAUGGGUUGUAAACUUCUUUUAUAUGGGAAUAAAACGUUCCACGUGUGGGAUUUUGUAUGUACCAUAUGAAUAAGGAUCGGCUAACUCCGUGCCAGCAGCCGCGGUAAUACGGAGGAUCCGAGCGUUAUCCGGAUUUAUUGGGUUUAAAGGGAGCGUAGGUGGAUUGUUAAGUCAGUUGUGAAAGUUUGCGGCUCAACCGUAAAAUUGCAGUUGAAACUGGCAGUCUUGAGUACAGUAAAGGUGGGCGGAAUUCGUGGUGUAGCGGUGAAAUGCUUAGAUAUCACGAAGAACUCCGAUUGCGAAGGCAGUUCACUGGACUGCAACUGACACUGAGGCUCGAAAGUGUGGGUAUCAAACAGGAUUAGAUACCCCUGUAGUG
rnacentral:rRNA from 1 species